CAACCCCCCACCCCUCCCCGUCUCAAAACUCCUCGCAAGCUCCCAGUCUUUCGUCGACUCUCCCUUUCUCACGCCUCUUCGUCUUGUGGUUUCGUCUCCUCAACAAGCUUGAAUCUCUCACUGAGAAUCCAUGGAUGAGGGAGAUUAAGAGGACGAAAAGCAAGUGCCAAGGACUCAGUUUUUUUUGGGGCUCCUCUCUCUGAUCAAUUCAAGUCAAAGCUUCAGUCCUUUGGUGUUCAGGAACAAGGUUAUACUACAGUCUGGACAGUUUAAAGGAGAAUUGAGAUUUUGGUAAUUUUCGUUGUUGAUGCCAGUGGCAGUAUGACAUUAAACCGUAUGCAAAAUGCUAAAGGUGCAGCAUUGAAACUAUUGGCAGAAAGCUAUACUAGAAGAGAUCAGG